UACAGAGGGUGCGAGCGUUAAUCGGAAUUACUGGGCGUAAAGCGUGCGUAGACGGUUAUUUAAGUCGGGUGUGAAAGCCCCGGGCUCAACCUGGGAAUUGCAUUCGAGACUGAAUAGCUAGGGUACGGUAGAGGGAAGCGGAAUUUCCGGUGUAGCGGUGAAAUGCGUAGAUAAUCGGAAGGAACAUCAGUGGCGGAAAGCGGCUUCCUGGACCAGU
rnacentral:rRNA from 1 species